AGUGAACGCUGGCGGUAGGCCUAACACAUGCAAGUCGAACGGCAGCACAGUAAGAGCUUGCUCUUACGGGUGGCGAGUGGCGGACGGGUGAGGAAUACAUCGGAAUCUACUUUUUCGUGGGGGAUAACGUAGGGAAACUUACGCUAAUACCGCAUACGACCUACGGGUGAAAGCAGGGGAUCUUCGGACCUUGCGCGAUUGAAUGAGCCGAUGUCGGAUUAGCUAGUUGGCGGGGUAAAGGCCCACCAAGGCGACGAUCCGUAGCUGGUCUGAGAGGAUGAUCAGCCACACUGGAACUGAGCCACGGUCCAGACUCCUACGGGAGGCAGAAGUGGGGAAUAUUGGACAAGGGGCGCAAGCCUGUUCCAGCCAUACCGCGUGGGUGAAGAAGGCCUUCGGGUGGUAAAGCCCUUUUGUUGGGAAAAAAAAGCGCAAGGUAAAUCCCCGGCUGUCUGGCGGUUCCCAAAAGAUUAAGAACGGCUAAAUUCGUG
rnacentral:rRNA from 1 species